AAUGGUAAUCUGACGCUGUCAGAUGCAAACAGAUGCUAGCUGAUGCUAACAGCUGCUAAAUGAUGCUAUCAGGUGCUCACUGAUGCUAUCAGAUGCUAACAGACACUAGCUGAUGCAAACAGACGCCAUACCGACGACUUUCCCUCUGAGCGGAGACAAAGUCUGUCUGUUGGAGUUGAUGGUGUCACCAGAACUUAGCGGUCGAUAGCAGUGAAGGUCUGACUCUGGGCCUGCUGGGGUUGAAGGUGUCACGGAUCUCAGUCUCCAGGUAGACACCGGGCACCUUGAAGAUGGAGACGGCUGCAAAGGCACAUGAAGGUGACUCGGAAUGUGAAAUGAGCAGCACGUCCACGACGGAAUUGGCUCUUACUGUCCCUCAGGUGCAUGACGGGCUGCGGCAGCACGCUAAAGUACGGGUGGUGCAGGGCGUCCGCCGCUGACAUCCGGUCUGCGGGCGCCAACAUCAGCAUCUUCUGGACAAGAUCUUCGGUUUUAUAUGGAAGUUGGUUUAACCUGAUGAAGAGAUAAUAACUUUAUUGUUAGCAUGAUUUAAACACUUUAGCAUCCGCCUGCUCCUUUUCUCACCUUUUCCAGACGCAGCGAAUCGGCUUGGACUCGGAUGGAAGAGACCAGUCUGGAACAAAAAGGACCACAACAUGACCUCCUCAUUCAUGCUGUCAUGUGACAUGUCAAUCAUCAUGGCACCUCUUGUAAAGGCGUGUCUGACCUGGUUGAUAAUUGGGGAGUCGGGUCAGUCCAGGCCAGUUGUCCUCUGACGGGGCGCCAAGAACCUGCAGGGUCAGGUCAUGAGUGAUAAGGGUGGGGGGGCUUGGUAGCUUCUGAGUUUCGGAGAUAAUGGUACCAACCGUCCAGAUUUUCCGCAGCUGGUCAAACACAUCAGUGAGUCCGGGGAAUGCCGGCGCCCCCUGGAGCAUCUCCACAAAGAUGCACCCGGCUCCCCUGACACACAUCGAAAUGAUAUCAAGCUCAAGUCUGUGUUCCACGUCGCACCUGAAGCACACGUACCAGAUGUCCAGAGCUGUGGAAUAAUCUGUAGAACCCAGCAGAACAUCCGGGGGCCGGUACCAUAGCGUAACUACAUCUGAUGAGAAACUCUGACAGGGGACAGACUUGGAGCGGGCCAGACCUGCAUGAAGAAUCUGUUAGAAUCUGCGGCAAUAAGCACGGCCUGCAUGAAGGAACCUACCAAAAUCAGCCAGUUUGAGUUCUCCCAAGUAGCUGAUGAGCAGGUUCUGAGGCUUCAGGUCGCGGUGGAGGAUCUGGCGACCGUGGAUGAAGUUCAGGCCCCGCAACAGCUGGAACAUGAAGAUCUACAAGGAAAGAAUGUUCUGUACUUGACAGUUCCUCACUUUAUGUACGCGUUCCAGUCCGACGUCGGCGGCCAUGACACCUUAAUGACGGCUACGUGAAGCACAACGUACAUGGAGGCCAUACCACCUUCUUCCUCCUACGUAUCCUACUACCUAGUUCCUUCUUUGUAUCUUACCUCCUACACUCUAAAACCUGGUAUUCUUAGGUAUUGGGUGAGGACUCGUACCCGUACGUUGUGAGAGUGCAGACCGCCCGGAUGCUGGUUCAUGUACUGGGCCAGGUCCGUCUGCUGCAGCGACACAACACCUCACCAUGAACCAAUCCAUCCAUCUCAGAGUCAUGUGACCUGCCGCUGAAGACCACCUUACGUAUGUCUCACCACAUAUUCGAAGACGAAGCGCCACCAGCUGCCCGUUAAUCCUGGAUACAAAUUCAUCAUCAUCAUCAUCAUGUCGUGAUGACAUCAUACACCAUGUGACCUGUCACCUGCUGAUGCCUUUGUAAACGGACGCGUAUGAGCCUUCACCGAGUUUCUCCAGACUCACCCAAACCCAGAUGGAGAGAUCCUGGCAGCUCUUCCUGCUCCACGGGUCGCUGUUACUACGCCCUCGCUGCACCCGAAGGCGUCGCAUCUGCAGCGUGUGGAACCAGUGGGGAUCCCUGCCAGGAACAUCCUGGUCCAACUGGGCCCGGAAGACACAAAACAAUCCAUGAUUAAUCAAUGAACUCGGGUCGGCUAUCCUUUAGAUAACUAUAGGGGUGUUAUGUCAUGUCCAGAGGGCUCUAAUGAUGUUAAAAAGUGUAUUUAGAAGGUGGUAAACAGGUUUAUUAUGCCUAAUAUGUCGUAUUUUCUCUUAUGAUGUCUACUACAUUGGGUAAUAUGAGUGUAAAGGUGACUAUAGGGGUGUUAUAUCAUGUCCAGGGGGCUCUAAUGAUGUUAAAAAGUGUAUUUAGAAGGUGGUAAACAGGUUUAUUAUGCUUAAUAUGUCUCAUUUUCUCCUAUGAUGUCUACUACAUUGGGCGAUAGUAGUGUAAAGGUGACUAUAGGGGUGUUAUAUCAUGUCCACAGGGCUCUAAUGAUGUUAAAAAAGUGUAUUUAGAAGGUGGUAAAUAUGUUUAUUAUGCUUAAUAUGUCUCAUUUUCUCCUAUGAUGUCUACUAUAUUGGGUGAUAGGAGUGUAAAGGUGACUAUAGGGGUGUUAUGUCAUAUCCAGAGGGCUCUAAUGAUGUUAAAAAGUGUAUUUAGAAGGUGGUAAACAGGUUUAUUAUGCCUAAUAUGUCUUAUUUUCUCUUAUGAUGUCUACCAUAUUGGCUAAUAGAAGUAUACAGGUGACUAUAGGGGUGUUAUGUCAUGUCCAGAGGACUCUAAUGAUGUUAAAAAGUGUAUUUAGUAGGUGGUAAACAGGUUUAUUAUGCCUAAUAUGUCUUAUUUUCUCUUAUGAUGUCUACUAUAUUGGGUAAUAGGAGUGUAAAUGUGACUAUAGGGGUGU